CCUACGGGGUGCAGCAGUGGGGAAUAUUGGACAAUGGGCGAAAGCCUGAUCCAGCCAUGCCGCGUGUGUGAAGAAGGCCUUCGGGUUGUAAAGCACUUUCAGUGGGGAAGAAAGCCUUGGGCUAAUACCCUCGAGGAAGGACAUCACCCACAGAAGAAGCACCGGCUAACUCCGUGCCAGCAGCCGCGGUAAUACGGAGGGUGCGAGCGUUAAUCGGAAUUACUGGGCGUAAAGCGCGCGUAGGCGGUCUGAUAAGCCGGUUGUGAAAGCCCCGGGCUCAACCUGGGAACGGCAUCCGGAACUGUCAGGCUAGAGUGCAGGAGAGGAAGGUAGAAUUCCCGGUGUAGCGGUGAAAUGCGUAGAGAUCGGGAGGAAUACCAGUGGCGAAGGCGGCCUUCUGGACUGACACUGACGCUGAGGUGCGAAAGCGUGGGUAGCAAACAGGAUUAGAUACCCUUGUAGUC
rnacentral:rRNA from 1 species